GUGCUCGCUUUGGCAGCACAUAUACUAAAAUUGGAACAACACAGGGAAAGUUAGCAUAGCCCCUGCGCAAGGAUGGCACGCAAAUUCAUGAAGUGUCCCAUAUUUAA
rnacentral:snRNA from 1 species